ACGUUGCUGACAGCGCUCGUUGUUAAGGAGAACCGACUGGGUGCGAUUUCUUUGGUCCUACCCAAAACGUGGAUUUCUUUGGUCCUCCCCACAUGGUUUGAACCUCUCCCCAGCCAGGCCUCGAACCCGCGAUGUUCUUGCUGUGAGGCUGCAGUGCUAACCACCACACCACGGUGCAGCCCAUGUCAAAAUGUGAAGUAGUAAGUAGUAAAUCCUAAUCGAGAGGACUCUGCAUGCCGCUGGUAAAUUGACUCUGUGAGAAAGCCCUGCAGGUCAAGGUUCAACAGCACCCUCUGCUGGCGAGAAGAAGAAUGAUGUCUGGACAGGAUGGGGCUUGUUCAGCCACACUGACAAGCCGCAGACUAGUUGCAAGUAGACUGUACGAAGCUGCGUGGACUUUCUGUGUGUUUUCCCAGUUAUAUGUGCGUUCUUGAGGAAAUGCUUUCCACUUCUGAGUUAUGGAUAAGUUGUUCAUUAUUCCAAUUCAUGUUACUGUGGUUUACAUUUGAUGCUGUUAGGACAUUUUUUUUUGCUCCUUGCUGCUUGUUAAUGAUGGAAUUUGCACUGUUUCAACCCCCAAUACUGUGUCUACGCUAUCAUACACUUAUAAAGCAGUUUCUUUGUAAUGUUUAUUGAUUUAAAUGCUGAAUAUUAUGUUGAACAUUUUGUAAUACAUUUUAUUAUUUUCCUUUCAGACCACACACACACACAGAGAGACACGUAUACCAGUAUCCUGUACAACAAUGUUAAACCUCAGAAGUUCUAUUAAAGAAGAAGAAAACAGAUCUCUCUCUCCAAGUGCCAUGAUUCUCUGACCGGAAUCAUAGUCCAUAAUCUGCCGCCUCAACCAGCAUUCCUAUUAUUUGAGACUCGUCCCCUCAAAUAGACUCACUUACAGAAGAAUCAGAAGGUAAAAGUUCUCCCACCGAGAAGGAAAGAGUUUCACAAAAAUAUGCCCUACCAACGUGUCUGCACAAGAAACGUCCGUGAAAGCAGGUGAAGAAACUGAAAUCCAUUUUCAGUUUGGAACAAAAUAAAAAUGAAAACUUUUGA